rnacentral:lncRNA from 1 species
UCAUCCUUCCCGCUUGAGAGCUCUCCAAGGUUAGCAAUGCAGUAAGGGUGGGUGCAUUCCAAGCAAACCAGUAGUAAACCGGAAUCAAACAGGGGUCUCGGAGAAAGACCCACUUGCUGACUCAGAUAUGUUCUUGUGUUUCAUUGAGUAGGAAGAAGAAGGCAAGUAUUUCACCCAAACUCUAGUAAAAGAGUAUUAGGAUAUACCUAAAAAAUUC